GGAUGAGCAAUUUUACAUAACUGAAUAAAAUAUAUAUUAUGCUAAAUUUAAUAGCUCGGUUAGAUAAUAGUCAUAAUUGAUGCUAUAAUUUUUUUUACAUUGCUGACUGAAUAACAUUUACACAUGGUAAAAUUUUUAAGUAAUUUGAAUGGAAUAAUGCAAAUAAAAUAAUUAGAAGUUAAGCGAGUGUAAAUCAAAAAAAAUAAAGUUAAUAUUUUUAAAAUAAUAAUCUAAUCAGUAAAUUCUUUAUUAAGAAUUUGUAAGAUAAAAUCUUAUUUAUCUGUUAAAGUUUUAAUUUGUAUAUAUUUUGGCUUCCCUCGUGAUUAAUUGAAUCCUGGCUUUGUCCCAAUCAGAGAUACAAAAUCAUUUGCAUACAAGCGUCCUGCUACCUAUGAGACCCCAGCUAGUUUUAUAUAUAAGAUAUAAUAUGGCUAAAACUUUUAAUCCAGUUAUAGCAUUUUUGGCGGUGGCUAGGUCUAAAAAGUUAAGAGAAUUAAGCGUGCUAGAACUAGAGAAGUUCUAGGAUGAGUGAUCCCCCUGGUAAGUGGGACAUCACAGUUAGUAUCAGAGUCAAUUACUAACGAAAGUGUACUGAGAUGAGUUUUGAUUGAGCCAAGGUUAUAAAAAGGAAAGAGCGAGGCUCUUAUACUGAUGACUGUUAUAGAUAGAGCAUAAUACCUCAAAAAAUUGGUUAAGGUUAGCGAGACGAAUCUCACAUCACUUGGUACUUGUGAGUCUCUGUAAUAUACCGAACUUCUAAAUUCACGAAGUUACGAUGUAAGUUAGCUUAGAAAGCCAUUGGAAUCGUCCCGGCAAAGUUCUGGAGCACUCGGGUGCUUCGGUGCGCAUAGGGCGCGAAAACGGAGCCGAAAGGCUAUGUUGAACCGUGAGUUAAAUCCGGCAUUAGCGUGGGUGAAAAGAUGAUGAAAACAUGUUUGAAAACAUGUUUGGAGAGUCUCGGUUCGAUUUGAAAUGAAUCGGAGGUCAAACGAGCAAAAACGAGCGAAAACGGAGCUAAAACAGUGAAAAAGCUGAAAAUUUGGCUAAGUCCUUGAAGGCUGAUUUCUGGACCU
rnacentral:lncRNA from 1 species